CCCCCCCCCCCCCCCCCCAUUUCCUAGCAGCACUUGGGAGCGAUAAGCAGGUUCCUGAAGCACCUGGGAAGGAGUUGAGACUGAAAACAGGACAACACACAGUUCUCUCUGCAGAUUGGUGCAGGUGGUAUGAAGUGAAACAGCCCACGCAGAACUGUCGCCUAGAGCCACCGCUUAAAUCAGAGGUGGAGGGAUAUGAGGCACCAGCAGCGUCGGGUCCAAAAUGAGAACACUGCCUCAUGAAACCUAUACUUCUAACACAAAAACGUGCAAUAGAGAUGACGUGGGCUGGAGAAGGGAGGGGAAGCCAAAGCUAGGUUUGUCGUUUUAGAGCAAUACAUAAAUUCUGAAUUCCUUGGUGGCUGUCUUAGCUUCUGUUUUGGAAUUUCUCUCUUCAGAGCAAGCGGAUCACCAAAUUGGAGUGGCUUACAGUAGUGCCCAUUGGAUAAUAUGGUCUACAUUAGAAAAGUAGAAUUUGAUUCUAAAAAGUAUAUGGAAAUAUAAGAGAACAGGGACUCUGAGGAAAGAAAAAAAGAAAAUCCAUACCAAAGAAUGAAAAAGAGUCUAAAGAGAAUAGAAAAAUAGGAGCAAUUAAAAAGUGAGGCAGGUAGGUUAAGGAAAGAAAUUAAAGAUAGCAAGAAUGCCAUUACAAAAAUGAGAGCCAUAUUAAAAGCAAUAAGUAGAAUCCAUGAUGAAAAAACAGCCAGCAAUAAUUUAUAAUGCUAAUCAAAGCUAAUAUUGACUUACCACAUACCAGGAACUCAUCUGAGGGCCUUAUUCUUAUAGGCUCAUUGAAUAUUUGGAAGACUUCCAUUAGUUACUGCUACUAUUAUCUCUAUUCUAUAGGUGAAGAAAUUGAGACACAGCUAGCAUGCCUUAGCUAUAUCUCUUUAUUAGUUCAGACUGUAUAAAAUUAAAUUGCAUUAUGUGUAAAAUCUUGUCAGCUCAUUGUCUCACUGCUAGACAAUGUGGAAGUAAGGAUAUGUUUGAGGAAAUUCCAUAGACAAAACUGUGAGAACAAUUAGCCAUAGAGACUAGAGUGGAGAUCUGAUAUUUGCCUAAUUGUUGUCUUUGUAUUCGACUGAAAUGAAUACAAAAAAACAUUAACUUUCUGUAAAAGAACUGAGUUUACAAAUGUAAACUGAACACCAUGUUGCAAGAAAAAGUGGAAUUAUCAAUCCUGAGGAGUACUAUGGUACAAUAUUAAUAUUCAAGAUGGAAUAGAGUAUUAUAGUCAUCCAUUGGAAAAAGAAAUUACCUUCAAGUGGGAAAAAUUAGGCUACACUCAGAUUCUUGCAAUGUCAGGAGAUGGUGGAGCAUGUCUGCAGAAUUUUAAGUUAAACAAUUGAUGCAAAAGUUUAAUAGGUAGCUUUUUAUGCAAGAAUAAAGGUAAUAAGAAACCAUUCUUAAAUAAGAAAGGACUCAGAAUAUAAUACCCAUGAGAGACUAUGGGGGAAGAAUCUUAGUUAUGAAUUCCACCAACCAACUUGUAUCAGUUAGUUUUUGCUAUGAAACAAAUGACCCUGAAAUUUAGUGGCUUAAAUCCAUAACCCUUUAUUUAGCUCAUGAUCCUGUGAGUAGGCUGAGCAGUUUUUCUGAUCUAGACAACUUGAUCCAUCUCUCUGGGUUCUCCUAUAUCUGCUUUUAGCUGCAUGUCCCCUGAAGUUGGAUAACCCAGCACGGCCUCAUUCUAGUGUCUGAUGGUUGGCAGGCUGUUGGGUAGGGCAACAAAGGUAAACUGGAUCACAUGUCUUUCAUCAUCUACAUGACUACCCCAGACUUUUUUGCAGGUGGAGAGGACAAUAUCCCCAAAACAAAAGUACCAUAAGAACCGAAAUUGCAAGGCCCCCUGAGGUUUUGGCUUAUAAGCCUCAUGGCAUCACUGUGCAGCAUUCUACUGGUCAAAGGAUGUGCUAAGGGCUUAAGACAUCAACUCCCCUCUUGUGGGAGAAGUUGAGAAGUGCUGGGGCCGAUUUUGUCAUCUAUCACACAACUGAAAAGUUCAGUCAUGGAAAAAUGCCUGAAACAUUUGGAGACUGUUGUUGAAGCAAUUCAGAAAGCUCGCUUAAAGAGCAUGAACUUUAGACAACUUGUAAGUGUAUUCUCAAUACCUUUGAAAGGACUUUGUUUGAAGAAUUAUAUUACCAUAUAGUAUGCCCCCACCCCAUACCACCUGAAGAAACUGUAUCAGUCUAUCAUCACAGGUGCAUAUCUGUUUAACCUAGAGGCUGAAGAAACAGAGGAGCCAUCACACUUUUCUAUAGUGACUGCACCAAUUUGAAUUCCCAAAAGUACACAAGGAUGGUCUUUUCUCUGUAUCCCCGUCAACAUUUGCUAUUUCUUGCCUUUUUGAUACUAGCCAUUCUAAGCGAUUUGAGACAAGUUCAUCUUCCUUUAGAAGUGUUGCAUUCACACCAAAGUUAUAUGAAAGUUGCAUGUGCUUCAUAUCUCACCAAAACUUAGCAUUGCCACUCUAAGAAGAAUUUCUAGUCUUUUUUUAAUGGGAAAUUGUAAUUACUGAGAAGUUUUGAGACCUAACAUUUGGAACUUCAGGACAAGAUGCUAAAGGCAACCAGAUAUUGAGAAUGAAACUACCGACUCAUUUUAACUCCAAGGUGUCAAGCCAGUUCUAUGAGUGGCUUGGCUCUUGAAUGCUUUCCCAUGACUUCCUCAUAAAAAACGAAAUCCCAAACAUCAAAAAUAUCAGGGCUACAGCAUUCACUGAUGUUCCAGAUGGAGUAGCACACAUCUCUGGCAUCCACAUUCGACUGACUUACUCUCUAAUCCCUUGAGAUUGUCCUCACAUCUCCAAUGUUCCCAGGUCCAACAGCACUUACAGUAAAAGACAAGCUGGUGGCAAGUGGGACCCAUUGACGCAGUUGUUCUUAGAAGGCUGAGAAGUGACUCAUGUAUGCUCAGGAACAUCUCCGUCAGCAAGCAGCUGGCUUCACCGCUCUUCUUCUCUGAAGCUUAAACCCCUUUGGUUUUGCUGUAGCCAAAACUCUUGUCAAAGCCUAAAGCUACAGAGGCGCUGUCAACACUUCACUACAAUUUUGGCCUUGGAGAAGAAAAAUAUGCUCUACUGUCUUUGUGAUUUUUUAAAAGCUAUGCAAAUGAAAUAAAAAGCCGAAUUAAAUCCUUUUUGUGUAUUCAAAAGCCAAAGUACAUACUGAAUAUCCUGUAUAUUAAAAUAUUGUGUUUCUUGCGCUAGUGACAAAUGAUAAACUAAGACGAUAAGGUCAGUCGAUUAAAAGCAAAAUGACUUAAUUUUCUUUCUUAACAACUGCUCCCACCAUAAAUUGGUUACUAAAAUGUUAUUCCUAUGUGAUGUGUGAAUUAACUUUUAUACUUAACAUACAAUGAAGUCUAAGAUUUAAUGCAAAGGAGAGUUGUACAAAAUUUUAUAUAGAGGUAUGUGAAUAGUUUAAAAAUGAACUUAACCUAUUUAGCUGAUUAUGAUCACAGAGUCCUCCUUUUUAUUUUAAAUAAGAAUUUCAAACUACUGAGGCUAGAGCAUCCAGGAAAUACUCAAUGUCUGAAAAUCAAGAAUCACUGAAGGACAAGAAUUCUAUGGACCAAGCACAUUUAUGGAAAUCAACACGUGAUUGGUUUGUUUUCAAAUACCAAAGCUAAUAGUUUUAUAUUUUGAUAUAAUGGUUGUGGUAGGAGGCAGAAAUAGAUCUCACAAGGUGCUGAAGGGCUUCAUUCCUCCUGAUGGUUCUAAGGAAGAAUCUGUUCUCUUGCCCUUUCUGGCUUCUAUAGGCUGCCAGCAUUUCAUGGCUUGUGGCCUUCUUCCAUCUUCAAAACCAACAACACUGGUUGUCUUUCUCAUGGUGCAUCAGUUAGACACUGACUCUUCUGCUUCCUGCUUCACUCUUAUGGGCCAUCAGGCCAACCAAAUAAUCUUCAAUUUCAUUUACCUUUGUCCAGUAACAUAGCAUACUCACAAGUCCCAGGGAUGGGUAUGUAGACAUUUGAAGGACCAUUACUCUGCCUACCACACUUCUCUAGAGCCUCCAGAAAGAAAUGCAGCCCUGAAGGCACCUUGAUUUUAGACCAGUAGUUUGGUCAAUUCAGACUUCCAACACUUAGAACUGCAAGGAAAAAAAAUGUGUAUUGUUUAAGCCAUGAAGUGUGUGGUAAUUUAUUUCAGCAGCAAUAAGAAAAUAAUAUAGUUGUGAUGGAGGAAAGAGAUUUAGACACCAGAAUUUGUAUCUAACCAUAGUAAGAACCUCCUUGGAAAUAUUCAGUAAGCCAGAGGGAUUCAGGCAUUUUAUGCACUUUAAGCAUAAAGCUUCUAGAGUGUUAAAGCCAAGUAAUUGGAAAGGGGAAAAAAAUAGUGUACAAAAGAGAAUUGACAGUAGACCAGGAGACAGAUAUUACCCUA